rnacentral:rRNA from 1 species
GACGAACGCUGGCGGCGUGCUUAACACAUGCAAGUCGAACGGUGAUCUUGAGAGCUUGCUCUUGGGUGAUCAGUGGCGAACGGGUGAGUAACACGUGAGUAACCUGCCCCUGACUCUGGAAUAACUUCGGGAAACCGAAGCUAAUACCGGAUAUGACACAGAGCCGCAUGGUUUCUGUGUGGAAAGUUUUUCGGUUGGGGAUGGACUCGCGGCCUAUCAGCUUGUUGGUGAGGUAAUGGCUCACCAAGGCGACGACGGGUAGCCGGCCUGAGAGGGCGACCGGCCACACUGGGACUGAGACACGGCCCAGACUCCUACGGGAGGCAGCAGUGGGGAAUAUUGCACAAUGGGCGAAAGCCUGAUGCAGCGACGCCGCGUGAGGGAUGAAGGCCUUCGGGUUGUAAACCGUCUUUCAGUAGGAGGAAGCGCAAGUGACGGUACCUACAGAAGAAGCACCGGCUAACUACGUAGCCAGCAGCCGCGGUAAAGUACACGUGUACG